AUUGUUAGGGCUAUGGAAACCUGACGGUUUGAGGGCAGACCACCAAGAGAAUUGUUACAUCACAUCCCCAGCUAGACCAGGCUUAGUUUGCUUAGUAAGAAAGGCAAUAUUUUUGUUGAAUUUCACAUUUUCUACCAAGUAACGAAUUAACCUUUUUGAAAUCGCAGAGGAGAUCACAGCAGGAAAUGAAGCCAUAUCCUGUACACGCUGGCUACCACAUAUGAACCAUCAGAGAGAUGGAGGGCAAUGUCUGGAAGAAGGACGGGAAGAGGGAAUAUAAGAACAUUCAGUAUUAAUGGAUUCCAAACUCCGUGUGAUAACCAGCCGGUCCUGGACCAGUUUAUCAUCGCAGUGUGGACUGAUUCUCUUUUGCAGGAAGUUAGUUUUGACUUCACCAGCUGGAUUGGAGGGCACCUGUGGCAUACCUUGUCCUAUUGCUGUGGGGGACUUCGUCCAGCUUUUAGACAUGCAAGACUAAAUGUGAAUACCAUCUAUACAACAAAUGGUAAUUUAUUAUGUUCUCCAGAAACUGAUUUUGCAACAUUGCUAAACUAGCAGACUGGAGAGAUGCUCACAAUUCUCAGAUGAUAUGAGUGUUUCUCUGCAUGGGCAUCAGAGCUGCCACUGCUUGACAUUCCAAGAACUUCCCAGCUACAGGUUCAUCACCUUCUCCUCCCAGGAAAGACAUGUGAGAUUCUGCACAGAGACAGGAAUGUCGUGCCAAAGAGCCUGAAGUCAUGCCAGUGGUGGAGUGCUGAUUGGAACAGACUGGGUUUGGAUGACAUCUCUACUCAUCUGUAAUGGAAGCUGUGUCAAAAUAGGAAAAAUUUUGAAAAACUCUGGUGGCCUUUGGGUGAUGAAGUUAAUGAUAAUUGCCACCUUUUUUCAUGAAGUUUCUUGAACUUUGACAACUUUAGGAACAAUAAUACUGAUAUUGAUAAUAUGUCAUCUUGUUCUCAUGUUCUGUGAUUCUGAAGAAGCAAGAACUGACCACCAUGUACAUCAGCUGGAACCUUUCUGGAAUCCACACAGUGUAAUAAUCCUUAGGAAAAGCUACCUGGGAUUCAGCUGUUACAAUCAGAAGGCCACGAACACUCAACUGGAACCUUUCAUAAUCCCAGUAAAAG
ensembl:lncRNA novel transcript